ACCUUUUGUAUAAUGGGUCAGCGACUUAUAUUCUGUAGCAAGGUUAACCGAAUAGGGGAGCCGAAGGGAAACCGAGUCUUAACUGGACGUUAAGUUGCAGGGUAUAGACCCGAAACCCGGUGAUCUAGCCAUGGGCAGGUUGAAGGUUGGGUAACACUAACUGGAGGACCGAACCGACUAAUGUUGAAAAAUUAGCGGAUGACUUGUGGCUGGGGGUGAAAGGCCAAUCAAACCGGGAGAUAGCUGGUUCUCCCCGAAAGCUAUUUAGGUAGCGCCUCGUGAAUUCAUCUCCGGGGGUAGAGCACUGUUUCGGCAAGGGGGUCAUCCCGACUUACCAACCCGAUGCAAACUGCGAAUACCGGAGAAUGUUAUCACGGGAGACACACGGCGGGUGCUAACGUCCGUCGUGAAGAGGGAAACAACCCAGACCGCCAGCUAAGGUCCCAAAGUCAUGGUUAAGUGGGAAACGAUGUGGGAAGGCCCAGACAGCCAGGAUGUUGGCUUAGAAGCAGCCAUCAUUUAAAGAAAGCGUAAUAGCUCACUGGUCGAGUCGGCCUGCGCGGAAGAUGUAACGGGGCUAAACCAUG
rnacentral:rRNA from 1 species